GUACACACCGCCCGUCACGUCAUGAAAGUCGGUAACACCCGAAGCCAGUGGCCUAACCCUUGUGGGGGGAGCUGUCGAAGGUGGGAUCGGCGAUUGGGACGAAGUCGUAACGAGGUAGCCGUACCGGAAGGUGCGGCUGGAUCACCUCCUUUCUAAGGAGCACCACGAAAAGAGUGCGGCAUCAGGCUGCGCUCGAGCCGUGAGGAAUCCGGUCGCUGUAGUGGCGCCGGGUCUGGUGCGCAACAACGAAUCGUCGUGCUGUGUCGGCUAUCGCCGGCCGGUGGGACAGCAAUUUCUGCCAGACACACUGUUGGGUCCUGAGGCAACACCUGCUGUUGUCUUCAGCCCGUUGGGGUUGAAGUGCGAUGUUGUCGCUCCAUCUUGGUGGUGGGGUGUGGUGUUUGUUUAUUGGAUAGUGGUUGCGAGCAUCUUAAACAAAAGUGCUGAUUUUUCAGUUUUUUGUUGAGUUUGUUUUUUUAGUGUUUGUAAGUGUUUAAGGGCGCACGGUGGAUGCCU
rnacentral:misc_RNA from 1 species